rnacentral:misc_RNA from 1 species
AACGCACCUUGCGCUCCUUGGUAUUCCUCGGAGCAUGCCUGUUUGAGUAUCAUGAAAUUAUCAAAAUAAAUCUUUUGUUCACUCGAUCGAUUUUAUUUUGGACUUGGGGGUCUGCAGAUUCACGUCUGCUCCCCUUGAAUGCAUUAGCUGGAUCACUGUAGACUCGGUUCCACUCGGCGUGAUAAGUAUCACUCGCUGAGGACACUUUUGUAAAAGAAGUGGCCGGGACUAUCAGAGAACCGCUUCCAAUAGUCCAUUUGCUUGGACAAUUACAUUUAUGAUCUGAUCUCAAAUCAGGUAGGACUACCCGCUGAACUUAA